rnacentral:rRNA from 1 species
AUUGAACGCUGGCGGCAUGCCUUACACAUGCAAGUCGAACGGUAACAGGUCUUCGGAUGCUGACGAGUGGCGAACGGGUGAGUAAUACAUCGGAACGUGCCCGAUCGUGGGGGAUAACGCAGCGAAAGCUGUGCUAAUACCGCAUACGAUCUACGGAUGAAAGCGGGGGAUCGCAAGACCUCGCGCGGACGGAGCGGCCGAUGGCAGAUUAGGUAGUUGGUGGGGGUAAAAGGCCUCAA